rnacentral:rRNA from 1 species
CAGCCGCCGCGGUAAUACGGAGGGUGCAAGCGUUAUCCGGAUUUAUUGGGUUUAAAGGGUCCGUAGGCGGAUCUGUAAGUCAGUGGUGAAAUCUCACAGCUUAACUGUGAAACUGCCAUUGAUACUGCAGGUCUUGAGUAAAUUUGAAGUGGCUGGAAUAAGUAGUGUAGCGGUGAAAUGCAUAGAUAUUACUUAGAACACCAAUUGCGAAGGCAGGUCACUAAGAUUUAACUGACGCUGAUGGACGAAAGCGUGGGGAGCGAACAGGAUUAGAUACCCCAGUAGUCCCUGUCUCUUAUAC